rnacentral:lncRNA from 1 species
GUUGGAAGCAAGGACAGGGAUAGGAAGAGCUUCUAAACAGUUGCAGGCAGGAGCAGUGGAACAGAAAGAAAUAUUACAUGAGUGACAUGUUGGUGACUUUACUUUUGUGAAAUAGCAACUAAUGACUAGCCAGGAAGAGCAUGUGCAUUCAAACUUGUUCAUUCAUCAAUUUGAGUUGAAGGGAGGGGGACGUCCUUGGUGGAAAAGUUAAAGAAAGUGCUCUGGGUGAGAAAUUCACAGGAAAGAUGUUAAUAGCAACGGGGAAAAAAAUAACACUUCUCCAGUGCCAGGCAAAUGGCCAUAUCCAUCAGGAGUGAAGAAGAGACAUAAGACAAACAGCUCAGAGUGGAAGAAAUAGAUGUUCUCAGG